rnacentral:rRNA from 1 species
AAAUUGAAGAGUUUGAUCAUGGCUCAGAUUGAACGCUGGCGGCAGGCCUAACACAUGCAAGUCGAGCGGCAGCGGGAAAGUAGCUUGCUACUUUUGCCGGCGAGCGGCGGACGGGUGAGUAAUGCCUGGGGAUCUGCCCAGUCGAGGGGGAUAACAGUUGGAAACGACUGCUAAUACCGCAUACGCCCUACGGGGGAAAGGAGGGGACCUUCGGGCCUUUCGCGAUUGGAUGAACCCAGGUGGGAUUAGCUAGUUGGUGGGGUAAUGGCUCACCAAGGCGACGAUCCCUAGCUGGUCUGAGAGGAUGAUCAGCCACACUGGAACUGAGACACGGUCCAGACUCCUACGGGAGGCAGCAGUGGGGAAUAUUGCACAAUGGGGGAAACCCCUGAUGCAGCCAUGCGCGUGUGUGAAGAAGGCCUCGGGUUGUAAAGCACUUUCAGCGAGGAGGAAGGUUGGCGCCUAAUACGUGUCAACUGUGACGUUACUCGCAGAAGAAGCACCGGCUAACUCCGUGCCAGCAGCCGCGGU